CUGUGUGUUGUUGGGUAGGGGAGCGUUCUGUAAGCCUGUGAAGGUGUGUCGUGAGGCAUGCUGGAGGUAUCAGAAGUGCGAAUGCUGACAUAAGUAACGAUAAAGCGGGUGAAAAGCCCGCUCGCCGGAAGACCAAGGGUUCCUGUCCAACGUUAAUCGGGGCAGGGUGAGUCGACCCCUAAGGCGAGGCCGAAAGGCGUAGUCGAUGGGAAACGGGUUAAUAUUCCCGUACUUGGUGUUACUGCGAAGGGGGGACGGAGAAGGCUAUGUUGGCCGGGCGACGGUUGUCCCGGUUUAAGCGUGUAGGUGUGUGUUCCAGGUAAAUCCGGUUCACUUUAACACUGAGGCGUGACGACGAGGCACUACGGUGCUGAAGCAACAAAUGCCCUGCUUCCAGGAAAAGCCUCUAAGCAUCAGGUAACAUCAAAUCGUACCCCAAACCGACACAGGUGGUCAGGUAGAGAAUACCAAGGCGCUUGAGAGAACUCGGGUGAAGGAACUAGGCAAAAUGGUGCCGUAACUUCGGGAGAAGGCACGCUGACACGUAGGUGAAGUGAUUUACUCAUGGAGCUGAAGUCAGUCGAAGAUACCAGCUGGCUGCAACUGUUUAUUAAAAACACAGCACUGUGCAAACACGAAAGUGGACGUAUACGGUGUGACGCCUGCCCGGUGCCGGAAGGUUAAUUGAUGGGGUCAGCGCAAGCGAAGCUCCUGAUCGAAGCCCCGGUAAACGGCGGCCGUAACUAUAACGGUCCUAAGGUAGCGAAAUUCCUUGUCGGGUAAGUUCCGACCUGCACGAAUGGCGUAAUGAUGGCCAGGCUGUCUCCACCCGAGACUCAGUGAAAUUGAACUCGCUGUGAAGAUGCAGUGUACCCGCGGCAAGACGGAAAGACCCCGUGAACCUUUACUAUAGCUUGACACUGAACAUUGAGCCUUGAUGUGUAGGAUAGGUGGGAGGCUUUGAAGUGUGGACGCCAGUCUGCAUGGAGCCGACCUUGAAAUACCACCCUUUAAUGUUUGAUGUUCUAACGUGGACCCGUUACCCGGGUUGCGGACAGUGUCUGGUGGGUAGUUUGACUGGGGCGGUCUCCUCCUAAAGAGUAACGGAGGAGCACGAAGGUUGGCUAAUCCUGGUCGGACAUCAGGAGGUUAGUGCAAUGGCAUAAGCCAGCUUGACUGCGAGCGUGACGGCGCGAGCAGGUGCGAAAGCAGGUCAUAGUGAUCCGGUGGUUCUGAAUGGAAGGGCCAUCGCUCAACGGAUAAAAGGUACUCCGGGGAUAACAGGCUGAUACCGCCCAAGAGUUCAUAUCGACGGCGGUGUUUGGCACCUCGAUGUCGGCUCAUCACAUCCUGGGGCUGAAGUAGGUCCCAAGGGUAUGGCUGUUCGCCAUUUAAAGUGGUACGCGAGCUGGGUUUAGAACGUCGUGAGACAGUUCGGUCCCUAUCUGCCGUGGGCGCUGGAGAACUGAGGGGGGCUGCUCCUAGUACGAGAGGACCGGAGUGGACGCAUCACUGGUGUUCGGGUUGUCAUGCCAAUGGCACUGCCCGGUAGCUAAAUGCGGAAGAGAUAAGUGCUGAAAGCAUCUAAGCACGAAACUUGCCCCGAGAUGAGUUCUCCCUGAGACUUAGAGUCUCCUGAAGGAACGUUGAAGACGACGACGUUG
rnacentral:rRNA from 1 species